rnacentral:rRNA from 1 species
UACAGAGGGUGCAAACGUUGUUCGGAUUUACUGGGCGUAAAGCGCGUGUAGGCUGCUUCGCAAGUCGGAUGUGAAAGCCCUGGGCUCAACCCAGGAAGUGCAUUCGAAACUGCAGAGCUGGAGUCCUGGAGAGGAAGGCGGAAUUCUCGGUGUAGAGGUGAAAUUCGUAGAUAUCGAGAGGAACACCCGGUGGCGAAGGCG